UACUUCUUUCUUCUUAUGAUUAUUCAGGA
rnacentral:piRNA from 1 species